rnacentral:rRNA from 1 species
UACGAAGGGGGCUAGCGUUGCUCGGAAUCACUGGGCGUAAAGCGCACGUAGGCGGCUCUUUAAGUCAGGGGUGAAAUCCUGGAGCUCAACUCCAGAACUGCCUUUGAUACUGAGGGGCUUGAGUCCGGGAGAGGUGAGUGGAACUGCGAGUGUAGAGUGAAAUUCGUAGAUAUUCGCAAGAACACCAGUGGCGAAGGCGGCUCACUGGCCCGGUACUGACGCUGAGGUGCGAAAGCGUGGGGAGCAAACAGG